rnacentral:rRNA from 1 species
AGUGAACGCUGGCGGUAGGCCUAACACAUGCAAGUCGAACGGCAGCACAGUAAGAGCUUGCUCUUACGGGUGGCGAGUGGCGGACGGGUGAGGAAUACAUCGGACUCUACUUUUUCGUGGGGGAUAACGUAGGGAAACUUACGCUAGUACCGCCUACCACCUCCGGGUGAAAGCAGGGGAUCUUCGGACCUUGCGCGAUUGGAUGAGCCGAUGUCGGAUUAGCUAGUUGGCGGGGUAAAGGCCCACCAAGGCGACGAUCCGUAGCUGGUCUGAGAGGAGGAUCACCCACACUGGAACUGAGACACGGUCCAGACUCCUACGGGAGGCAGCAGUGGGGAAUAGUGGACAAUGGGCGCAAGCCUGAGCCAGCCAUACCGCGUGGGUGAAGAAGGCCUUCGGGUUGUAAAGCCGGUUUGUUGGGAAAGAAAAGCAGCAGGUUAAUACCCCGCUGUUCUGACGGUAACCAAAGAAUAAGCACCGGCUAACUUCGUG